rnacentral:rRNA from 1 species
GAUGAACGCUGGCGGCGUGCCUAAUACAUGCAAGUCGAGCGAACGGACGAGAAGCUUGCUUCUCUGAUGUUAGCGGCGGACGGGUGAGUAACACGUGGAUAACCUACCUAUAAGACUGGGAUAACUUCGGGAAACCGUAGCUAAUACCGGAUAAUAUUUUGAACCGCAUGGUUCAAAAGUGAAAGACGUUCUUGCUGUCACUUAUAGAUGGAUCCGCGCUGCAUUAGCUAGUUGGUAAGGUAACGGCUUACCAAGGCAACGAUGCAUAGCCGACCUGAGAGGGUGAUCGGCCACACUGGAACUGAGACACGGUCCAGACUCCUACGGGAGGCAGCAGUAGGGAAUCUUCCGCAAUGGGCGAAAGCCUGACGGAGCAACGCCGCGUGAGUGAUGAAGGUCUUCGGAUCGUAAAACUCUGUUAUUAGGGAAGAACAUAUGUGUAAGAAACUGUGCACAUCUUGACGGUACCGAAACAGAAAGCCACGGCUAACUACGUG